rnacentral:rRNA from 1 species
GAUCAUGGCUCAGGAUGAACGCUAGCUACAGGCUUAACACAUGCAAGUCGAGGGGAAACGAUAUUGGAAGCUUGCUUCCGAUGGGCGUCGACCGGCGCACGGGUGAGUAACGCGUAUCCAACCUGCCCACCACUUGGGGGAUAACCUUGCGAAAGUAAGACUAAUACCCAAUGAUAUCUCUAGAAGACAUCUGAAAGAGAUUAAAGAUUAUCGGUGUACGAUGGGGAGUGCGUUCCC